rnacentral:rRNA from 1 species
GGGGGGGGGGGGGGGCGGGGGUGGCGGAGGGGGGUCGAGCGGGGGGGCCCGGCUUUUGGGGGGUGCUCGAGUGGCGGGCGGGGGAGUAGCAGGUGAGUAACCUGCCCUUGACUUUGGUAUAACUUCAGGAACCUGGGGCUAAUACCGGAUAGGAGCUCCUGCUGCAUGGUGUGGGUUGGAAAUUUUCGGCGGUUGGGGAUGGACUCGCGGCUUAUCAGCUUGUUGGUGGGGUGGUGGCUUACCAAGGCUUUGACGGGUAGCCGGCCUGAGAGGGUGACCGGCCACAUUGGGACUGAGAUACGGCCCAGACUCCUACGGGAGGCAGCAGUGGGGAAUAUUGCACAAUGGGCGGAAGCCUGAUGCAGCAACGCCGCGUGCGGGAUGACGGCCUUCGGGUUGUAAACCGCUUUCGCCUGUGACGAAGCGUGAGUGACGGUAAUGGGUAAAGAAGCACCGGCUAACUACGUG